CGAGGCGGCGGCCCUCCCGCGCGGGCUGGCGGCCGAGGGCAGCGGGCCCCGCCGCCGGGGCUCGCCGAGAGGGGCUGGCAGCGGCCCAACGUGGCGGGGCGGGCGCCGAGGGGGAGGAAGCGGCGAAGGCCUGCGGAGUAUUCCUGCCAAAAGCGUCUUGCAGUCAAGCUCCGGCUCGGUGAGGAGGAGGAGGGAGGUCCCACGUGUCGUGUGUCAUCACAGUCCAGACAAAGUAUUUCCGUGUCGCCACAGCAUGAGAACUUUUCGUCCCGUCAUGGUUGCUUCCUGCCCUGUCUUGAAAGCAGCCUGGUCUUGAGAUGAGUGACAAACCCCAGGCAUGGCCGCGUGCCUUCCCUGGGACAGAUGUACAGGGUGCAUACACCAAGUGCCUGGCUUCGGCGCUGCCUUUCUUACUCGGACUUCCCGGCCUUCCCCCAGUUUUCACCCUGAGGAGCACCACCCACUGCACCUCCUUUGUCCGUGCUACUCCCACCUGCCUUCAUUUUGUUCUGAAUUUUCAUCUCCUCCUCUGCUCUUGGCGUUCCUCCGUCUUUUAUCUCUGCCAGUUCAACAUGUCCCUUCUUCUCUAUCUUACACCACAGCUCCCAUGAGUCUGCCCCAGCCCUGCAAAUGGUAGGAGUGAACAGUAAGCACUGAAAGGAGGAAGUGCCAGCCUCAUUCCUUGACCACCUCCCUCCCAUGUCAAUUGUAUUAUAUAGCCUCUGCUUCUCCCCUUUACAUACAUGUGCACACUUCCAUCCACUGCACUGUGGCCACCUGCUUCACUUCCAUCUUCCCCUUGGCCACAUGCAGUUCAUAAACAGAGUGCCUACUGAAAGGGUAACCCAGAUACAGUUUGUCUAAAAGUCCAGCGGGCUGAGGACGUUUUCACUAGAAGCAAGCAGUACCUGUGUGUUGAAUAAGCUGUAGGAGAAAUUCAAGGUUGUUUUGAGUGAUGGAAGCCAAUGGCUUCACUGCUUCUGGAAGCAGGGGAAGAGUCAGUGAAUGUGCAAGGAGUCUGCAAGAGGCACACUACAGGUGACAAGAAACCAGAGAAAUCUGCAACUGUCAUAAAACUCACUACCAAACUAGUGGCAUCUUCCAAGAUAGUUCUAGAGGUGAAGCUGUGCCUGUCUUGUCAGCAUUUCACAGCAACAGCGUGCAUUGGGACAGUGAGUGGGUCAUGUAUGUCCUACUCUUACGUCCAAGCCCAAAGACUGGUGGUAAGUGGCUGUACAUCCAGCUGGAAGCCAGUCACAAGUCAUGUUCUCCAGGGCUCAGUAUUGGGGCCAGUUCUGUUUAAUAUCUUUAUCGAUGAUCUGGUUGAGGGGAUCGAGUGCACCCUGUGUAAGUUUGCAGAGAACACCAAGCUGGGCAGGCAGGCUGUGCAGGGAGAUCUGGACAGGCUGGACCAAUGAGCCAAGGCCAGUUGUAUGAGGUGCAACAAGGAGAAGUGCCGGGUCCUGCACUUGGGUCACAACAGCCCCAAGGAAGGCUACAGGCCUGGGAAGAGUGGCUGGAAAGCUGCCUGGUGGGAAAGGACCUGGGAGUGUUGGUCAACAGCUGUUUGAACAUGAGCCAGCUGUGUGCCCAGGUGGCCAAGGCAGCCAACAGCAUCCUGGCUUGUAUCUGAAAGAGCGUGGCCAGCAGGGCAAGGGCAGCAGCGAUCAUCCCUCUGUACUGGGCACUGGUGAGGCCACACCUGGAACACUGUGUUCAGUUUUGGGCCCCUCACUGCAGGAGGGAUGUAGAGGUGCUGGAGCGUGUCCAGAGAAGGGCGACGAAGCUGGUGAAGGGUCUGGAGUACGAGUGUUAUGGGGAGCGGCUGAGGGAACUGGGGUUGUUUAGUCUGGAGAGGAGGCGACUCAAGGACUUCAUUGCUCUCUGCAACUGCCUGAAAGGGGGCUGUAGGCAGGUGGGAGUAGGUCUCUUCUCCCAGAUAACAAGCAACAGGACGAGAGGAAACAGCCUCAAGUUACACCAGGGGACGUUUCUAGUGGAUAUUAGGAAAAAUUUCUUCACUGAAAGGUUGAUGAAGCAUUGGAACAGGCUGCCCAGGGAGGUGGUGGAAUCCCUGGAGGUAUUUAAAAAACACGUAGAUGCUUAGGGACGUGUUUUAGUGAUGGACUUGGCAGUCCUGGGUUAACGGUUGGACUUGACCUCAAAGGUCUUUUCCAACCUAAAUGAUUCUAUGAUUACUUAUUUUGGCAAUGGCAUUUUUAAAUGCAAAUGGAAAUUGUCUCACCCAGAUGCAAAAUACAGACCAUCAGGUGCUCUUGGCUAUUGCUACCACCUUUCAGUCCCUAAAGAGCAAGCUACCUUGCAAGCUGGUAACUCAGCUUAGCAAGGUUUAGCAAUACCUUGGCUCUGUGUGCAGCUGCGGUUCCCUGUGUAUGUAACUCUGCCUCACUCUGAGCACUACGAUGCUGUGUUGGCCUGUGCUCAGUUUUACCCUGUUUCUGGUGGAGGUGGCCUCCCACAGGAGCUUGGCCCCAUGCAUCUGGUAAAAUACAGACUGCAACCCAGGCAUUUCACUGUGACCUGGAAGAUUCAGUCUUUGGUCAUGGAAGACCUUGGGCCAAUCGUUGUGUCCCUCCAUGCUUCAGUUGCAAAAUGGUUUAAUAACCUUUCCUGCCUCUAUUAAGGGACAUCUCUGUGAAUAACACUUGGUUGCCCGUGGUCCUGCACAUGAUGGUGAGCCCAUCAAACUUUUGAGGGUUUUUUCAAACUUUUUUGAAACAUCCCUGGUGCCCAUGGCAGCCAAGCAGAAUUCUGUGGCCUCUUCUCUGUCUUUGUAGGCUCGAAUCCAAAAUUACAACGGUAAUCCUGUUAUAUAUACUGUUUUCUUGCCUUAAGGCCAGUUCCUAUACCCAAUGAGGCAGCAUAAAUAAAAGCCUCAGUGCUUUUGGAAUCCCAUUAGAAUAUGCCUGCAAGUGCAAUAAUACGUAAAACACACCUGCAUUAUAUCCUUCAGUGGGAAUUUUGCUGAUUAUCUUCUCUGCAAAUAUAGCAAAUACCGCAAAUGUAAGAUGCCCAGGUUCCCAGAGAUGAGCAUGUAGCAACUCCAGCUGAGUGUGGGAAGAGUUGCAUAACAUAUUUUGAAGGCCCUUUACAAGGUCAUGGCCACCAGUAGAAAACAUUAUUACCUUCUUAGCAUUAACCUGAUAAUUAAUAACCUGUACUGUCCUUGUGUUGCACAAUAUUGUUUCUCAAACCCACAUGCUAUUAUUCCACAGGCAGAAUGAAAAAGAUUUUAAUGAGGUUUAUAAAGUUCUAGUGUGGAUGGAUCCUUCUGUCCCUAAGGGAAGAGCCUGCCAUGACUGGUUUUCUCGUUCUUUUUCUCCUGUGCAGCAGAAUAAUCCAUAGGUGAGACUUUCUAUGAGAAAAAAAAAAUUCAACAUCAUUAUUUUCCUGAUGGGUAAACAUGAGCUGAGAAAUGAAAAUUUGCCCACUCAAGGUCAUUCAAGAUCAGAACCAGGCAAAUGAUUAGAGACCCAGAUCUCAUAGCUAAUUAGGCUAUUAUGUAAGCCACAGUAAGAAACAAAAAUUCAUGAAUUUUCCCAACAUGAAAUAAUAUGAUAAAGUUUGUGCCUUGAAGUAAUAAAGUCCCCUGAAAUAGGGAAGAGAUGCUUGUGUGGCAUCAUGUGGUUUCUCUCCUUGCCACUGUAAAAGAAUUCAGUGUCUGGAGCGGAGCAGGACAAGUUUGGAUACUAAACUGAAAGGCAAUAUCCUACAGCAGCACUCCUGAGCAAUAGAACUGUUAUGUUAGGAGCCACUUAGUCCAUUAAUCUCCUUGAAAUCUUUCACCCUUUUGUGGGCUACUGAAGCCCCUGGAAACAGGCUUCUUACUUGUCCCAGUGCUACCCCUGCCAGGCUUCAUCCAUUUGAGGAAGUGAUUUCUGCUGCACUUUGCUUGGUACCAAGGAUGGGCACUACAUGCCACACUAGCUCCUUGUUGGUUUUAUGGUUCAGCUUCAAACAUGGGAGAUACGCUGUCACUGCAGUGGUGUAAAACUUACAUAAAUCAGUUGCUUGGAUCAGUCUGGUCAUCAUAUGAUGAAUAGGGAACUGUGAUUGCAUACAUGCUCAAAUAAUACGUUUGUACACUGGUACACAUCAAGGCCUCCACACUUUUUUUUCUAAUUGCUCCUUUUCUGGCUCUUCUUGCUCAGUAGUCAUUCAACGUGAUCCAGGGCUGCUUACUGGCUGUGUUCAACUGUAAAGAAAUCUGUAAAGAAAGCUUUUAAAUCAGAGAAAGACAGUGUUCCUGCUUUCUAAUUUAUAAGGAAAGACCUGAAAGAACUGUAUAUAUUUAUCUUUUUCUGUUUUAUUUUGGUGUCUGUGCCAAGGACAAGUGUUCUGCCGUCAUAAUAGACCAGAAAACACAAAGGCUCUCAGACUCCUGUGCUAGAUGGGAAAUGGUAUUUCCACAUAAAUACUUCUGGUGAACUGAAUCCUUCCACAUUACCAGGCCUACUGAUGGUGUCUCACAAUCCAGCUUAAAGUGUCCAAAGCACUGAGGUACAGCACAAGCAAACUUGAAUCACCAGAAACAUCAGAUGGCUUUGCUUAGUGGAUCUCAUUUAGGGCUUUUACAAUGGAGGACAAGCAUCCCACUGAAGAUGGUGAGGCUUGAAUUUUUAGCAGAGACAUCCCUCUUGUGGGAACUGUUUGGCCUUGGAGCUAAACUGAGCGAAGUACAACUAAAUAUGCUAUAAAAUACUCAUCAUCAGUUUAAACUUUUAUUAGAAUUCCUCCUUUUGAAUUCUGGACACCACUAGGAUGUGCAAUGCAAAUGCUACACUACUGUCCUCAUACUUUACUCGCAACCAGCAGUUGCAGAAACUGUUCCAUUUUUCAGAUGUGCAGUCCAGUUUUAGACCUCAUGUCUACCAUCUUCCCUGAACAGUGGUAUCCCCAUAUUCACCUGCACAUACCCGAAACUAUUACCUUCUCCCCAGGCCCUCUGUAACAGAUUUUGCACAUUCCCAAAAUCUUUUUGAAAGCCAGAUAGGUACCAUGAAGAGGUUAAGCUGAUCGGUACUUGUACACAGGCAGACAUAUGCAUGCAGGCACUGCACAGAAUUCUAAUAUAUCAUUGCUCUGUUCCUUCUAUCAGCAAAUGUAUCUGGACUUCAGCAAAACCAGGAACUGUCUUGUUAAUCUCUUCACCUUUCCAGACCACUCCACUUUGGAGACAGAGGGGAGUCAGAGCAUUCAGACGUUAUCUCAGAUCUACCCUUUACUACUGAGAACAUUCAACCUUCUCAGCAGUCAGGUUUUGAUGCUGGUUAAGAUACCAGAUGUUGAUAUAAAGCUAAAAGUUCCCCAGCUAACUCUUUCUCUCCUACUUUUCUGGCCAAACCUUUAUGAAGAAUUUGAGCUAAAGCAAACACUGAAAAUCCAUCAAAUCAUUCUGUCCUCUUACAAAAAUAUUCCAAACUGACCACAUACCCUUGUAGUGGCGUGGUUCCAUUAGGCACACUGUUCUUACAGGACCUAAAGUCAGAGUGUACUAGGAAAUAGAAAGAGCUUUCAAAAAUUCUCCGAAUUCCAGCUCUGCUCUCUGUCAGAAGGGGACAAAGAAAAAAGAAUUUAUUCUUUCUUGAAAUUAUUAUUACAGUUCCUUUGGAGGUUACUGCUGAACCAACUGAUACUCUUCUGCUUAAUAACCACAAGUGUUGCUGGUUUUACUCCAUUCUGCUUGAAUGCAUCAGAAACACAGUGUCCCAAGCACUGUUCCAGCAAGGAGGAGAUAUCAGGGAUGUAUGCAGUUUACUUACAAAGCCCUGUUUCUGUGAACAGGAGAAAACACAUAAACCCAGUAUCUGCUCAUCACUGUAAACACUCUUGCCUCUGCUGUGCAGCUAAAUCCUAUGCUACAAUACUUGUUCAGGCUGUGAGCUAGGUUUUUUUAUUACCAUUGGGUUUCUUCUGCCCUUUUCUUCUGUGCUAUCCCCACCCUCUUUCAAAACAAUAUCCACACUUAGGCAGGUUCCCUAUGAAUUCAAAUCACUGGAUGACCCUAUCUGACCUUUUUGAGUGCUGCUUUGUGCUUAUUCUUACAGUGGAUGCUGCCAUCUGAUACAGGAGACAAGCUGCUCUUUACAAGGCAUAGUGGUUAAUCUUUGGAUCUAUACAUCUCUAUUUCAGUAAAAUCUAAGCAAAAUGCUGCCUUAUGCCUAGAUCUCUCAACUCAUCUGCUGGGAGGACGUGAUGGGUGGGAUGCUAUGAUGAGGUGUUACAAUGGAGUCAUAUACCCCAGCCUCCAUAACUGGCCCAAGAAUUGGUGCGGGGCAGGGUGAAGAGUACAGGAAGAGUGUUGCAGGGGUCAUUUUUCACAAGGACGCUUGUGAGCAAAGGGGCCCUCUGGAAGUCACUGCAAAAUCUGAACGCCAGCAUUACCCAGGCUAAGUGCAGCCUGGGAAAGCAUGGGAAAGCACUGCGCUUGGACUGCACUGCUUGUAUCUGCUAUGCGAGUGUGGACCUCAGGAACAGAAAACUCCUAUAGUGACAAAGAGACUGCUACCAUUUGUUGGAGUCAGGGAGCAUGUCUGUGUACACCAGGCAUUUUCAAACAUAUGAGGACAUGUGUUUUAUGCUGUAAAAAGCCUGUACUAUGAAGUGACAGCUGAAAGCUGGCAGCAUGGGAUAUAAAGCCUAGGGGAUGAGGGUCAUGUCCUGGCCAUGGCAGCUGAGUAGCAGUCCUGCACUAAGAUGGGUUAUAUCUCAUCUUUACCUUCCUCUUCUCUGCCUAUAAGUUUUAGCCCACAUAGCUCAGAGAAGCGCAGAGCCACCAAUGUAUUAGCAAUUAAAAAAAGAGAUGAGAAAGUCAGUACAGGGUAACCUGGAGGGAAAGCACUACCCUUACUGCAAAUGCAGAGAACUGCUGGGUGUGCCGGGUGGCUCUGUCUGGUUCAGCAGCAGGCACCCCUCCUGAAAGCAUUUGUUGUAACAUUUUUAGCUGUUGUUAGUAAUGCAUGAGUAGUGAUUUUGGAUGACCCCAGACCAGGCAUCCCUCAUCUUCCCCUUUCUUCUGCAAUGACACAUGAGAAAAUUUCAGCUCUGAAAGGGACCUAGCAGCUACCCCUGGGAUGAUCUGCUAAAGGUAAGCAGAACUCAUUCAGCUUUGGGGGUUUUGUCUUCUAACAAAAAAUUAGAUCUCACCUAAAACAAAUCUCUCUCAUACAUCUUCCUUCUGAAUGUUAGAAGCCAAUCAGUUUUCUGUUCUCAAUUUGCAAGAUUUUUAUUUUUCAGUUAAAGAAUGAUCAACAUCGACAUUUGAAAAUUUGUUUUUAAAAACAGAUGUUUCUAGUUUUCAUUUGCCCAUUUAAAAUACAGAACACUAUCUCAUUUUAUUGUAGCCAUGAGCUGAGCUCAGGGUCUUUGCAGGCUUAGACCUUUAAAACAAUUUAGCAAGAUGAUUUGCGCUACCACUCAACUGGUAGCAGAGUGCUGGCAUGGUGCCGCAAAGGGUUAUAUGCUUGGGAGCUGCACACACCAGCUAUGCACCCAGGCUGUGGGUACCUGCAAAUGGUCAUUGUGGCUCAUUUUUCAGCAGAGGAACUGUCAGUGCAAGAAGCAUCCAGCAGAGCCAUCAAGCACCUUAUGCUAUGAUGUACAGGGAGAGUGUGUUCUCACUCUCUCGCUUCUGACUCUCUAGAGUCAGAAAGCUCUCACUUUCCUAGAAGAUUAGGAAAACCAGGAACAAAACGCACAUUCAUGGUGUAGCUGAAAGCUAGAGCAAGAAUGGAUGUGCAAAAGGAACUUGGCUCUGAAAGGGGAAGGUUGUCUAUCCGCCACCCUGUCCCCUGGUGACAAGUUUUGGCAGAAGGGUAAGGACAGGGGAUGUAUAUCAACAAUAUAGACACAGCUCCCUGUUCCUUUUCCUCCUUCCAGAGCUUCUUGGUAGCAGCACCAGCAUUUGUUUAGCUGUUCUUGGGUCUGUUGGAAAGAUGAUUUGGACAACAGACAGGACACAUCAGGAAACCACUGAAGUAAUUAACCAAAUAUACCUAUACAAAGCAACCCAAACCCAAAAGAAUGAGAAGCCCAAGCACAGCAAGACAUCUUCUGCAGUGGCAAGAUCACUGCUCAUGAGCAGUACUUAUACAGCAUCAUUAGACCUGUCAUCCAACCAUUUCAGAUAGGGGCAGAGGUGCCAGAGCUAGUGUUAUACCCGUAGGAGAGGAUAAUGGUAUCACAUCCUGGCAGCUCUGUGCAUACACACACAGGAAGCAGCUGCACCUGAGUAGCCAUGGCUGCUCAAGCUGCCUUGGGUAAAGUCACACAUGGCAUCUCUUCACUUAAAAUCCCCAAACUAUGGUGACAACGUGCAAGACCCAGUUUCAACAAACCAGUGGAUAAGGAAGAGUUCCAUCUUUCCCCUUCUUCACUGAAGUCCUCAGUCCUGCUUCCUGAUGAGCAAUGCAACCUCUUUUGGACCUGCAACAGCACGCUGGAUUUCCCCAGUUAGGCCUUAGUCCUCCCCUAACUUCCAAGAAGCAGGAGUCCUUCAACCCUUCUUUACAGAAAUAGUCUGCAAUGGCUGGCACUUCAUUACAGAGGGACCAGAGAAACUUACCGUAACACGCCUGGCUUUAGGGGACCGAAACUGCCCAACUUGUGAAGGUGCAUGAGUGUAGUACUCUGAUUGGAGACAUGUCUCCAAAAGGUGUAAACUGGCCUCAAAACCCAUGCUUCCAAGGAGAGGGGUGUAGUCACACAGUUAUUUUAGAACACCAGGACUCAACAGGGUCAGAGGAGACAUCAUUUUAGUUAAUGAACAAUUGCUUUCCCGUUAACACCAACAGCUGUUAAUGAACAUGACAAUUUAACCCCUCCCGGGAUACUUGCGUUUGAA